rnacentral:lncRNA from 1 species
UGUUUUGUUUUCAUUUCAAAUAUGUGCAGAUGCAAUAAUUUAAUUGAUAAGGCUCACCCUUUUCCUCUUUUGAUAUGUUAAGCAUCUAUUUGCAUUAUUACUGUUAUUCUCAUAUUAUUUUGACAAAAACUAUAAUUCAUGAACAUUCAUGGUAGUUUUUUAUCGUCACCCUCUUUUCCUUGUGCAUGAAUGUAUUUUAUUGUUUCUUGCUUAUCAAGUUCAACUUACAUUAUCCUUUUCAUUUACUUUAGAACGUGUGUUAAUUUUUAUCUUUUUUGUGGCAUGUGACAUUGAUCCGAGUCCCGUUGGACUCUCUUCUCUUGCAUCUUCCCAAAUGGGCCAUGGAGGCCCAUUCCUUUCGAGUCCCAGCCUCAAGUUCAAGUCCAAAUGGGGCUAGUAUACAUGAAUUAUAUAGGUUAUAUACAGCAGCGAAGACAGAAAAAGGAUUGUAUACAGUAGUAUACAACAUUAAAUGAAGGCAUGGAAUGAAUAUAUCAAUUUUAUAAGCCGAUAUACAAUGAAUAUGCAUCGGUAUACAGUGAAACGCAAACAUGAAGGAUUCUGAUAUACAUAUGAUAUAAGGCUGAAAAUGGACUUAAAGUCCAUAACUUUACAGUCCCAAACCUGGACAGAUUUUAAAAUGGGCUAGAAAUGGGCCCAAAUCUCAUCCUUUCUCCUUUAUUUGUUUGUAUUUAAUUUAAUUUAUUUUGUAAUUUUAAUUUCAUCUAGAUGAAUCCUUGAGGAUUAAAUUAUAUUAAAAUUACUCAUUUAUGUUGGUUG